rnacentral:snRNA from 10 species
GUGCUCGCUUCAGCAGCACAUAUAUACUAAAAUUGGACUGAUACAGAGAUUAGCAUGGCCCCUGUGCAAAGAUGACAUGCAAAUUCGUGAAGCAUUCCAUAUUUUU